AAAGCUUUCUGCAGCACAGAGCUUUCAAAUUCAAGCAGUAAGGCCUUGUCACAGCCAACACUCCCCUCACUGGAUGACGGCUGUGCUUCCAGAGCAGAUCAACCCGAGGUGAGGAACUCCCGGCACUGCAGGCACUCCUCAGCACGGGCAAGGCCCCAGCCGAGCCCAGCCCCACUCCUGCCGUGCCUGAGACCCCAGGAGAGAAAGCACAACUUUUUUUUUUUUUACUCUGGAUGCAUUAACUCUUCCCACGUUGCCUUCUGGACCAGGUUCUGCAGAAAGUACCCCGGCGUGGCUCUGCGUUGGGUAUUACGCUGUUUGCAGCUGAAGGGUGUUCCCUGCGGCUGCUCCCGUCCCGUCUGGGCGGCGGUUUCCCCGCUCCCCUCACGCAGAGGAGAGGUUUCUGUCUGUGGAACAGCUGCGGCAACCGAACCGCUCGGCUUCCCUCGCCCUGCUGGCGGCAGCGGCACUUCCCCUCGCUCUCGGGCGGCCUCACGGACACGGGCUGCGCGGAGCCACAGCACCGCCUGCUGCCCGCCCGCAGCCCUGAGCCUGCCGUUUCGAUAUCGGUGGCGGAUAGGCAGUAAGAAUUGCGGGCUUUUUUUUUUUUUUUCUUUUCUUUCUUUCCUUUUUUUUUUUUUUUUUGUAAACAAGAGUCAUCACACACACCCAAAGCCCCCAGGUCCGUCUCUCCUCGAGCACCUUGCAGCAAUCUCAUGUGCCGCGACUGCUGGCAGGAGCGGGCCUCUUCCUCAGCCCUUCCUGCCCCGCCCAUGCUGUAGGGAUGGGACUACAGCAUCAGCAGGAGCUGGCUGAACUGAGAGGACAGAAUCAAUUGUGCUUCCUCUCCUAUGGUCCCAGCCACAAAUGCACAGUCUACUAAGGCAGCUUGGGUGCAGUGGGACCUUGGCUCCUCCAAGACCUGGACCACACAAUGGAGGGAGUUGCUGAGAUAGCAUUGCCAUGGCUUGUGAAAGUCAAACAGCACCUUGGGCCUCCCUCCCUCUUCUUACACGCCUGGCCUUGGCUUCUGUACAACCACGCCGGGUUCAGACUCUUCCCUCCAGGUUUGUAGUCUCAUCAUUGAUAGCUUAGACUUGGUCCAUGACAGUCCAGACUUGCAACUUCUGGGACUGCCAUCUGCAUAGUCAUGGAUAUUAAAACCCAAGUUUGCAUAAGCCUAUAUAUAAAUGGCAGUCUUUUCAGGCUUUGCAACCAAGUUCAUGUUUUUGUAUUUCCCCUAACCUCCACCUUUUCUUCCCUACCAGAGUAAAAACUGUUUUAAACACUCCUCCAAAGAAUUCCUGAGCAUGCUGGAAAAAGCUGGAAGAGUUAUUUAGCAUGGGCACUACAGCAUAUUUUUUUCUUGAUCUCACUGUUGGAAGCUACUGAGCCCUUUGUCUUUAAUUAAUACAAAAUAAAUCUGAGGCGGAUAUUUGGCA
rnacentral:lncRNA from 1 species